UACGUAGGGUCCGAGCGUUGUCCGGAGUUACUGGGCGUAAAGCGCGCGCAGGCGGCCGUUCAAGUCUGGCGUGAAAGCCCCCGGCUCAACCGGGGAGGGUCGUCGGAGACUGGGCGGCUUGAGGGCGGUAGGGGCUGGUGGAAUUCCCGGUGUAGUGGUGAAAUGCGUAGAGAUCGGGAGGAACACCCGUGGCGAAGGCGGCCAGCUGGGCCGUCCCUGACGCUGAGGCGCGAAGGCGUGGGGAGCGAACGGG
rnacentral:rRNA from 1 species